UACGUAGGGGGCAAGCGUUGUCCGGAUUUAUUGGGCGUAAAGAGCGUGUAGGCGGCCAUACAGGUCAGCUGUGAAAACUCGAGGCUCAACCUCGAGACGUCGGUUGAAACCGUAUGGCUAGAGUCCGGGAGAGGUGAGUGGAACUGCGAGUGUAGAGGUGAAAUUCGUAGAUAUUCGCAAGAACACCAGUGGCGAAGGCGGCUCACUGGCCCGGUACUGACGCUGAGGUGCGAAAGCGUGGGGAGCAAACAGG
rnacentral:rRNA from 1 species